UACGAGGGGGCUAGCGUUGCUCGGAAUCACUGGGCGUAAAGCGCACGUAGGCGGAUCUUUAAGUCAGAGGUGAAAUCCCAAGGCUCAACCUUGGAACUGCCUUUGAUACUGGGGAUCUCGAGUCCGGAAGAGGUGAGUGGAACUGCGAGUGUAGAGGUGAAAUUCGUAGAUAUUCGCAAGAACACCAGUGGCGAAGGCGGCUCACUGGUCCGGUACUGACGCUGAGGUGCGAAAGCGUGGGGAGCAAACAGG
rnacentral:rRNA from 1 species